AACACCAACAACCCAUUCUUCAUCACCCAUUAACAAAAUACAAGCACCUAUAUAAUUUCCACACACACAUGUACGAAUCCUCCAUUAUUCCACUGUACACAACAAUAAUACCAUCACCACUAUAACUUUUCCACCGGCACACCAUUUACACUUUAUCAACCGCAUUCACACCUACCUGCUCACUGACAUCACUACGCAAAUUAAUACUAAUAACAUGCCUAAAAAGGGAUAAUUUUAUACAGCUCCCUCCAUCAAUUUCUCUAAUAAAAAAACAUAACUCCCUCCAACUCCAAUCGCCGAUGAUAAUGAAACUACCUUCUCCACCAACUUCCUUAACCAGCCAAGCUCGCCUCCAAUCUACUAAUACAUCAUUUUCCCUCCACACAAAAUUUCCCUUUUUCAAUAAAUAAUCCUGACCACUAGGUUUUGGAAUAGACAAACACAAUGGAAGAAGAGGUUCAAGGUCUCCGGCAAGGCCACAUCAAUUUGAUUUGUGUUGAAAUUCAAAAUCCAGCAAUAUUGAGCCUAAAGUGCAUAAGGAUUGCAAGGACUUCUAAAAGGACCAAGCUCGGAAUUGGCAAGACAUUUAAGACCCUUUUGGAAUCCUUCUCAAGCCGUGACCAAGAUGAAAGGGGAGAAGGAACGCUUACACUCAAGAGGCACCUAAUUACUAAGGGCAUGGAGGUCUUCACACUACAAAAGGCCACACUCAAGAGGCGCCUUUUCUAAGCCCUCAUUAAGGGCAUUUUUGUCAAUUGUUAUGUAAUAGUAUAAAUAGAUAUUUUAGCUUCCAUUCUCAUUAGACUUUGAUGCAUUGAAAUUGAUUAUUACUCUUAGUGUAGGUUUCUCUUAGAUUAGCUAUAGGUCUUGAAAAAGACAUUAGAAUCAAGGUCAAUCUUGUAUUGGCACUUUGGCAAAGAAAGGUGGUGCUUAAGGACUUGAUUCUUUUGGUCCACCUAAGAGUGAGGUUUAAUCCAAUAUUGGUGUUGUGUGUCUUGGUGUUUUAUACAUACCUUGGUUCUAUUCAUUAGUGUUGGUGAGGGUCUCAUUACCUAUCCUUUAUAUUUAUGAAAUCUUUUUCUUCA